CACCUAUGGCAACACUGACAGAAGGCAGAUAGGGGAGGGGGAUGCUGCUUACACCCCCAGGGUUCAGCCCGGGUCCUUCUGAUUUCCUUAGGAAAAGUAGGCUUACUCUCCCUAAGGACAUUCCUGUGCCCACCCGACCCUGCUUUUGCAGGCUGAUCCUGAACUCCCUAAACCAGAAAUUGAUGAAAAGUAAAGAGUGAAGAAGAAAAAAGUGAAGGAAGAAAAACUCCAAAAGUACACAAAGAAUCAGGGUGAGCAAUGAGGUUGAGAGUGAACUGAAAUGCAGGAUAUCCCAGGUGGAAAGGUGGCUGCCCAAAUGGCCUCUUGUGCCUUCGUACAAGAAGAGUCACCUACCAGAGAAAAGCAUCAGACCCUUAGGCCAGGGUUUGUACUGGGUCCACACAGAGGCCAGUGGAGCCAAGAGACUGCGCUGCUCCACACUGCCCGUGUGUGUUUGUUUUGUUUGGUUGGCAGCAAAAGGAAGGAGAGAAAGGCAAAGUGGAGGAAGGAAAAGGGGUGAUUGCCAUUUGUGGAGUCACAGUGCCAUCCGGCGGAAGGUGUUUCUUGACAACAGACUACAAGGACACUUGCCUUCUUCCAGUCACAGAUAUCAGCGAGGAUGUGCCAGGCUGGGUAGACUAGGCCCAAGCCAGGGUUUCCCCCACUGGGGUUCAGAGCCCUUAAGGAAGUGUACCUGCCAUUGGAACUCCAUGAAGAAGCAGCUAAGCUAGAGGCCCGGGGACAGAACAGUCUGGCAGCCCCAAGACCAGUCAGCCCAGUGGGCGGAGCUUCCCCAUCUUGAAAUGGGUUUAAGAGAAACCACUGUUCACUGACUGCCGAGACUGGGGCCAUUUGCUCUGGUCUCUGAGUUCCUGCUUGUGUGAGUGAGAGUGGGCAAAUUGGCACAUGGCAGAGACAGCCUGACUGUACACACUGAAAUCCGUAUCGUUUUGUUCACCUGGCCUGACUGGAAGGAAAGGCAAUAGGGGAACAAUGUAACAAAUUGCUGAGGCUCCUACUGACUCAGGUUUACACAUUUAGAGAGUCCACAAGGAGAACAGGAAAGAAUGGUGGGCUAUAAGGUACUAGGUACAGGGUGUGUUUACCAUGACAUUUCACUUAAAAGUAACACGAGGACAGCUUUUUGGUGGAAAAGAAGGACUGAACUGGUGACCUUCAUCGCUGUUCUUUUAAGAAGAAAAGUGAAGCAUUUCUUGAGGCCUAGAGCUGCAGAAGGACAUUCCCCAUCACCAAGGAGAAGAAGAAGCAAUCUGCUAGAACAUUUGCAUGCAGAAAUAUCCAAGAUUUUGUCCCUUCCCCAAGAGGAAGAGUGCUACCUAGGGACAAGUGUGGUGCAUGCCAUCAUGAGGCCUGGUCUCUUGCUUUGGGGACCUGGGCCAAUUCCUAGAGGAAUCUGCAGUGGCCUGCAUGCAGGCCCACACACUCACACAUCCCUCUCCUGUACCCCAUCAUACUGCCCCCAGUACAACCUACCCCCACCAUGACACAGCCCUAAGGGUGGGAUUUCAUGAGAACAGACUCCUCUGGUUCACUGGGUACCCUGCCCAGAGAAGAAUCCAGAGGGAAGGAGGGAGGCAAAGAACCUCCUACUGUUGCAGGUUCCCCCAAAGUGACCACGUAGGUGGGGAUCCCUGCUGUAGGUGAGGUGGGUGAUCCUUGGCCAGUUUCUUCGUUGUUUCUUUGCUUUUUGUUUUUGGCAUUUGUUUUAUUCCGUUGGCAGCAAAUGGAGAAAGACAAGGCAAGGUGGGGGAAGGAAAAGACGUGACUGCCAUUUGCGGAGCAAGAGUAGGAGGAGACUGUAGCUGUCCUGAAGGAUCUAGUUAAGGAAGACCUCAGUGUGUGGUGACAUACACAAUGAGUGACAAGGAGCCCCAGGUCACCUCCCGUUUAAAGGACAUACAAACGAGAAGCUUCUUGUCGAUGGGAUCUUUCCUGAGUGGGAUCAAAACUUUGAUCCACAAAUUGGCCUGCAGAACUACAGAGUACACAAGUGUAGGCUGAACCUUACCCUGAGGAUGUCAUCAGCUGACUGCAAGGGGCCACCAAGCCCAAAGUCUACAAAACCAAGGCAGUGAAGAACCACCCAAAAGAAAAAGAUGAAAAACGGGGAGGAAUCGGACACCAGGGAAAAGAGGUAAUCAGCCACCCAUGGCAAUAUGGAGACACGGCAGAAAGAAUAAGGAAAUGCCAACUUCUCCUCGCAGGGUUCAGCUGGAGUCCUUCUAAUUUCCUUAGAAACAGUAAGCCUGUUUUCCUUAACCAUGUCCC
rnacentral:lncRNA from 1 species